rnacentral:lncRNA from 1 species
CUGUAGCUCCAGGUGUUCAGCAAGAGGCAUGGCACUGUGAAGUCACCAUAGUGUUUACAGAGAAGCACAAUAGGGGGCACCCUCCAUAAAUCUGGUUGAGGGAAAAGCAUUACAAGUUGGAUAAAAUAAGAAUACAAGAAACAGUAUUUGUAGAGUGUAUAUGACUGUGUGUCAAGUGAAGGGAAGACAGAAGAAAUGCUGUAAGUUACUAAGAGGGAGAAAUGACUAAGGACUGCAGUUGUCAUGGCAGGCUUCCUGGAGGUGGUGGAUGUGGGCUGAUGUCCGAAGAAAGUUACCAUUUACUGAGAUCUCACAGUGAGCCAGGCCCUGUUCUAAAUAUUAAUGUGGAUAUUUUGUUUAAGUCUCAUCAUUUUUCAAGGUGUAGUGAUUUGGAGAGGGGACAGGCUCAGCGUCAGUAUUUCUGCUGCAUUCCUCUGUAAACAUCUCAUGAAGUGGCUGAUUUGUGAGAAGAGGAUCAUCUACCUCCUGCAUUCCAUCUCAUGAAGUGGCUGAUUUGUGAGAAGAGGAUCAUCUACCUCCUGCAUUCAAUCUCAUGAGUAGUUGGGAAGAACAGAUGAAGUGAGGCUGUGAAGCACUGUUGCAAUCUAAGGCACUGCUCAGACAUUGGUUGAGGCUCUAACCCAUGGUCUCCCUGGAGUGGUGACUCCUGUGGUCUCCGGGGACCUUUCUCCUUCUGUGUGUGCAGCUCCAUCCAGGGUAUUUGAAGGUAGAACAUUCUUUAGGAUACAGAAUAAUGAAGCCUCAGGGUUCAUUUCAGAUUUCCUAGCAGGCUGGAUAGGGGGUGUUGUUCUUGGGAAGUUCCUCCUGGCGUCUCUGAAAUCAUUCAGAAAAAGGUUGUCCAGGUGCCUCUAGAGGGUGUUCUUGGCUGAUGUUUGUCCUGUGUUCCUCUGACUGCUAGGCUUAAGCGUCUUCAACUCAGAGUUCAAUUCCUCACAUGCUGGAAGGCAGGACAGCGAGCACUCUGGGAGGUCCACCAAGCACUUUGUGCUCCAUUCCCUGCACUGUCUGCUCAGGAAACCUCCUCACGCAACCAUCUGAGGCCUGGUCCUUAAAGUGGAACCUGUCACGCUGGAGCUGAGUGUUGCCUCGGUCCACACAGCAUCUUGGAGACAUUUAUGGUUUCUGCUCUGAGUGUCUCUUGAUGGAAUUGUUAGUGGCUGCUGCAAUGCAGAUAAUAUGGAAAACUAUUGUGGUAACUGUGGCUGUUGGCAUGGUGGCUUUCCACCUGGGAUCCCUGGAGUCUUGGCGCCUGGCAGGGGCAGCCCUGGGAGGAGGAGGAGGAGGAGACUGAGCUGGUGAGGACCUGAGCUGUUGAUCCCUUCUCUCCCACCCUCUAUGUGCCCUUAAUCCAAAGCAGUUUUUAACCUCCCCGCCUUUUGUAAAUGAUAAAGUUUUGGAUAAGAUGUUAUUUAAAGAAAGAUUUUGAUGCCAAGACAUGUUGAAAGUCCCUGCAGUGGGGAAGUCAGGAAAAGUUGGUAUGAUGCUGGGUUAUUAACCUUCUUUGGUGCAAGACCUUUUUUUGAGAUGUGAUGAAACUGUUUCUCCAAAAAAAGCUCAUACCCCACAAUAUUGCGUCAGGAUUGCUGAGGCCAUCUGUGCAUGUGGCCCACAGCCCUGGUUAGGGAUCCCUUGUCAAUUGGGAAGAUUAUGGGUUGUGGAUACAGGCAGAUAGAGAUUUAACCCUGCCUCAGACUUCACUCACUUUUUAACCUCAGGGUAUCUUAGUAAACGUCUUUACA